AGAGUUUGAUUCUGGCUCAGAUUGAACGCUGGCGGCGUGCUUAACACAUGCAAGUCGAACGUGAAAGUCCUUCGGGGCGAGUAAAGUGGCGCACGGGUGAGUAACGCGUGGAUAAUCUACCCUUAAGAUGGGGAUAACGGCUGGAAACGGUCGCUAAUACCGAAUACGCUCCCGAUUUUAUCGUUGGGGGGAAAGAUGGCCUCUGCUUGCAAGCUAUCGCUUAAGGAUGAGUCCGCGUCCCAUUAGCUAGUUGGCGGGGUAACGGCCCACCAAGGCAACGAUGGGUAGCCGGUCUGAGAGGAUGACCGGCCACACUGGAACUGGAACACGGUCCAGACUCCUACGGGAGGCAGCAGUGGGGAAUAUUGCGCAAUGGGCGAAAGCCUGACGCAGCGACGCCGCGUGAGGGAUGAAGGUUCUCGGAUCGUAAACCUCUGUCAGGGGGGAAGAAACCCCCUCGUGUGAAUAAUGCGAGGGCUUGACGGUACCCCCAAAGGAAGCACCGGCUAACUCCGUGCCAGCAGCCGCGGUAAUACGGAGGGUGCAAGCGUUGUCCGGAAUCAUUGGGCGUAAAGAGUUCGUAGGUGGCAUGUAAAGUCUGGUGUUAAAGGCAGAAGCUCAACUUCUGUAGGGCACUGGAUACUUGCAAGCUGGAAUGCGGUAGAGGUAAAGGGAAUUCCUGGUGUAGCGGUGAAAUGCGUAGAUAUCAGGAGGAACAUCGGUGGCGUAAGCGCUUUACUGGGCCGUAAUUGACACUGAGGAACGAAAGCCGGGGUAGCAAAUGGGAUUAGAUACCCCAGUAGUCCCGGCCGUAAACGAUGGAUACUAGGUGUUGCGGGUAUCGACCCCUGCAGUGCCGCAGCUAACGCGUUAAGUAUCCCGCCUGGGGAGUACGCACGCAAGUGUGAAACUCAAAGGAAUUGACGGGGACCCGCACAAGCGGUGGAACAUGUGGUUUAAUUCGAAGCAACGCGAAGAACCUUACCAGGGCUUGACAUCUAACAAAUCUCUAUGAAAUUAGAGAGUGCUCUUCGGAGAAUGUUAAGACAGGUGGUGCACGGUUGUCGUCAGCUCGUGUCGUGAGAUGUUGGGUUAAGUCCCGCAACGAGCGCAA
rnacentral:rRNA from 1 species